rnacentral:rRNA from 1 species
UGGGGAAUAUUGGACAAUGGGGGGAACCCUGAUCCAGCCAUGCCGCGUGUGUGAAGAAGGCCUUAUGGUUGUAAAGCACUUUAAGCGAGGAGGAGGGUACUGGUAUUAAUACUACCAGGUACUGGACGUUACUCGCAGAAUAAGCACCGGCUAACUCUGUGCCAGCAGCCGCGGUAAUACAGAGGGUGCGAGCGUUAAUCGGAUUUACUGGGCGUAAAGCGUGCGUAGGCGGCUAAUUGAGUCGGAUGUGAAAUCCCCGAGCUUAACUUGGGAAUUGCAUUCGACACUGGUUAGCUAGAGUGUGGGAGAGGAUGGUAGAAUUCCAGGUGUAGCGGUGAAAUGCGUAGAGAUCUGGAGGAAUACCGAUGGCGAAGGCAGCCAUCUGGCCUAACACUGACGCUGAGGUACGAAAGCAUGGGGAGCAAACAGG